rnacentral:rRNA from 1 species
AUUGAACGCUGGCGGCAUGCCUUACACAUGCAAGUCGAACGGUAACAGGUCUUCGGAUGCUGACGAGUGGCGAACGGGUGAGUAAUACAUCGGAACGUGCCUAGUAGUGGGGGAUAACUACUCGAAAGAGUGGCUAAUACCGCAUGAGAUCUACGGAUGAAAGCAGGGGAUCGCAAGACCUUGUGCUACUAGAGCGGCCGAUGGCAGAUUAGGUAGGUGGUGGGAUAAAAGCUUGCCAAGCAGACGAUCUGUAGCUGGCCUAAGAGGACGAUCGGCAACUCUGGAGCUGAGACACGGACAAGACUCCUACGGGAGGAAGCAGUGGGGAAUUUUGGACAAUGGGCGAAAGCCUGAUCCAGCAAUGCCGCGUGCAGGAUGAAGGCCUUCGGGUUGUAAACUGCUUGUGUACGGAACGAAAAGCCCCGGGUGAAUACCCUGGGGUCAUGACGGUACCGUAAGAAUAAGCACCGGCUAACUACGUGCCAGCCGCCGCCGCAG